UUAGGUGGUUGCAAGAGUUCAUUUGGUCGAAAUGAAGAAGUUGAAACGAUUGCUCCACCAAACAAUUGUGUGACAAUAGGAGCUUAUGGGGUUAAAAGAAAGGCCAUGAUUGGACGUCCACGAAGUCGAUUGAGAGGUGCACUUGAACGAGGAAGAAAAAACUCAAAUGCCAAAACUGCCAAAGUUUCAAAAAGAAAACAAAAAGGCACAGAGGUAUGUUCUGAAACUUUUUAAAUUGAUUUAAGUGUGAUUAUUGUUGUACUUCUUUUUUUUUCUUUUCAAUAAAUACUACAGGACCCUAUUUCCAGUAGUUGUAACACACAAGAGCAGCAAGUUAGGGAUGGAGCUCGAACAUUUGAUUUUUUGACUCAGGUGAUACUUCUGGUUUAUAUAUUUGUUCAACUUUUUUUGGAACUACAACAAUUUCAACAUAUUUGAACAUCGACAUCUGUAGCUUGCGUUUGCAUUUUUCUGUUUAAUCUCUUACCUUCUUUUGGGAGGAUAAUUGGCUUCAGAAUAACCCUCUUUCCUUUCGAGUUACAGAAAGCUUCAUCAGAGGCUUUCCAGUUGCUCCUGCUCAGAAACUCUCUUCUCUUGCUACUCUUGAGGGAUGGGAUUUUCCGGAUAAUUUCUUACUUCUCUUCCCGGAUCUCCAUCUUAUCGAUCCCCCAAGCCCCUCGCUGGAUGCUGAUAUGUGGAUCCCUUCUCCAAAUGGAGAAUUCUCUCUUAGCCACCCAAGGUCAUGGCAUCACCUCAUCUAGAAUUCCCUUUUUGUUCCACAUUGCAGGGUCACCCUUUGGCUUGCUGUGCAAAAUCGCCUCUCCAGUCCUUCUCGGGUCCAAGAUUAUGCUGUCUUUGCCAAUCAAUUGAUGAGUCACAUGACCAUCUUUUCUUUGUUUGCUCAUUCACAAAUCCAAUUUGGAGGUUCUUGCAAAUCAAAUGCCGAAUCCGAGUUUCACACCUCUCUUGGAAUGGCUUCAUUGCAUGGGCAUCAAAUCGCUGGCGAAGGAGAAAUUUGCAGAUUUCGACCAACUUACUUGUUCUCUCCACUAUUGUUAAUCGGAUCUGGACUGAAAGGAAUGAUCGGAUAUUUCGUGGGCAAAGGAACUCCCAAUCAAAGAUGCUAAGAAACACCAUGGAUAUGAUUAAGCAAAGGAUGAUCUCGAUGCCGGUAAAGGACUCUGCUCUAGCGAGAAGGCUUGCUCUGGACUGGGAGCUUCCCCCUUCCUUCAUCCGGCCUCCGCCUGAGCCUGACUGAUCUAGCGAGGCUCUGCCUCUGUUUUCAUCACACCGGCUGUUUGGUUGUCAUAGACAACAAUAUUCUAGGGUAUCUAGAAUAUAAUUGUAUGAUGGGUUGGGCCUUGCUUUUGCUAGGCUGUGUUGCCCUUUGUUUUGUUUCCUUUGGGCUUUGGCCUGUGUACGGUUUUUGCAUCUAUAUAUUACACCUUAACUUCCGAAAAAAAAAAAAAAAAAAACUUGUAAUUAUUAUUUAAUUAAUAUCUAAUUUAUAUUUGACAGGAAUCUAAUAUUAGCCUUAGAACAGAAAUGCCUUCCGCAGUAGCUCCUUCAAUGAUGAACUACUCUGAAAAUUUUGAAGCAAUCACAAAUUGGGUAUCCACAAUAUCUUACACUCAAUUACUUCAGUCACAUUAUGGUAACCU